ensembl:snRNA U6 U6 spliceosomal RNA
GUGCUUGCUUCAGCAGCACAUAUACUAAAAUGGGAAACAUAAAGAGAAGAUUAGCAUGCCCCCUGCACAAGGAUGGCAUACAAAUUUGUGAAGCAUUCCAUAUUUUU